rnacentral:rRNA from 1 species
CCUACGGGAGGCUGCAAUUAGGAAUCUUGCGCAAUGGGCGAAACCCUGACGCAGCAACGCCGCGUGAGUGAGGAAGGUUUUCGAAUCGUAAAGCUCUGUCAGGUGGAAAGAAAUGUAUGGGCGUUAAUAGCUUCCAUACUUGACGGUACCACCAGAGGAAGCACCGGCUAACUCCGUGCCAGCAGCCGCGGUAAUACGGGGUGUGCAAGCGUUGUUCGGAAUCAUUGGGUGUAAAGAGCGUGUAGGCGGCUUGAUAAGUCAGAUGUGAAAGCCCUGGGCUUAACCCAGGAAGUGCAUUUGAUACUGUCUUGCUUGAGGAAGGGAGAGGAAAGCGGAAUUCCUGGUGUAGAGGUGAAAUUCGUAGAUAUCAGGAGGAACACCGGUGGCGAAGGCGGCUUUCUGGCCCUAUACUGACGCUGAGACGCGAGAGCGUGGGUAGCAAACA